rnacentral:lncRNA from 1 species
CACACAGAGCUUUGAAAGGCCACCAAGAACACAGUGAGAAGGUGGCUAUAAUCCAAGAUGAAACCCCACUGGAUAGACCAUCUUGGUCUUCCAGGUUCCAUUCCACAUGCCACAUUGUGCACCCCUCUGUGUCUCCCAAUUGUCUUCUCUGCCCUCAUUUGCCUUGGGCUGAUCUGUUGAAAGUCGCAGAGACCAGGCAGCCCUCUAGUGGGAGUAAACACUGUGCUCCUGGCUGUGACAUCAUCACAUUAUGCUUGCUGCAGGGACCCUAA